rnacentral:tRNA from 1 species
GCGGAUAUAGUUUAAUGGUGAGAAUGUUAGCUUGUGGCGCUAAAGAUGUGGGUUCGAAUCCCACUAUCCGCC